UACAUGGUGUCUAUAAAUUGACUUAGGCACACACAGAUACGUAAAAUAUAACUGUCAUCAAACAGAUGUGAAUUGAUUCCACUUUCGUAUCCUGAGGACAUUGUCUCUGUCUCCCACACAUGAAACUCUCCCCAAGAACUCAGCAGCUUUGGCGGUAGCUUGCUCCUAGCCCUCCAUUCAGUAGCUAGCAGUCACCCAAAGGCAGGCUAGUGACCUUCCUGAAGUCUGGUUUUCUGAACUUGAAGACGGAGCAUUCAGACCACAUCGUAAGGUAGGCGUGGUGGUGGGUUUCUGUAAUCCUGGAGGCUGAGGGACGAGGAUUGAAAGUUUAUGGAUAGUGUGGGUUACUUUGGUAGUUUCAGGUUAGCCUGAACUCCGGAGUGAGGCCAUCUCAACAAACAAUUAGGACCACACUGCAGGUUGGGAAGGCACAAUAUGAAAUAACAUAUUUCAAGUUUUCAUUAAAGUGUUUGGUAAACAGUGAAUGCUCCUUAGAGCUCACUCAACCUCCUGUUUGAAUUAGCAAGGGUCUCAGGAGCAGCAGCAACCAAUGGGCUCCAGACACUGUCCCUGACUGAAAGCCACGUAAGGCCCAAAGGUGUGCCCCCUGGUUUCCCUUGGCCGGUCAGCUUUCUGCUGUUCCUGAUGUCAGCUCUGUGGCUCUCUGGGAUCUGAGACCAGAGAAGGGUGAGGAGGGCAAUAUUUUGCAUCCCGUGCCUUGCCUGGCCUCCGAAACGUCUGUGCACUUGCUCAGGCACCUGACUGCACUCCUGACAGGGAGUGCUGAGCACACAGUCAGCUCAGCAAUCUGCAGGAGAAAGGAACGGACUCUGGGCAUUUCGGCAGCCAGAUUCCAUGCUUUCUGUGGGUGUCUGUGCUGCCUGCUUCGCUCAGGUUCUCACCAGCAGUGGGUGGGGACAAUGCAUUGUGAGGUGAGGACUCCUGGAGACCACAGGCUUCCAGUGUAUUCAGGCUGUAGGUAGAAUUCAGCUCUUUGCCAAACCGUCAAGGUGGACAGUACUUACCUUGUUGGGUAGUGGGAUUUUAGUGAGGUGACAUGUGUGGGCAAGCUUUAUCAACAGCUUGUGUCAUGUUAUCCAUCCCAGAAGAUGCUAGGCACUACAAUGGAAAUGGAACAGGUCUCCAGUUAAACAGCGCGAGGAUUAUGAAGCUGGCGGAGAUACGGGCAGAUUUAGAAGGCCAUGCCGACCACCUUACAGAGAAAUUGCCGUGUCUAGGUGCCCACUCUAACUGUCAGAAAUCCUCAUACCAGCCUUUGUGGUCCUGGAAGGAGGCCUAUCUGUGGUAGAACAUUGAAUGAACGAAGGAAUCCAAGAGGCACACUGAGUGGGAGGUUUCAUGUAGCCAAGGCUAGCCUUGAUUUUGUUAUGAAGCUGCAGAUGACCUUGAAGUUUUGGUUCAGCCUCCAGCUUCCUCUUCCCGAGUCUGCCUGGGAUUGCAGGCAUACACCACUGGAACAGGCCCCAGACUUAGUACAACUGAUAUCAUGCUGGAGAUACUACACUGACCUUAGAACCUACUACAUACGUCCAGCAUCUGCCCAACACGGGAACAAAGGGCUAAUUUAGCAAAGUCCUAUUCCAUAGUUUCAGGACCCAGGAAUGUCCCUGAGUGUGCUAACCUUGCCUUUUGGCAUCUGGAGUUCUCCUUCUUACUAACUGUUCUCACUAACCAAAGUGUGUCAACCAGGAUGUGGUUUUUCAUGUAAAAGACAAGGAGUGGUGAGGUUGCGUGAUUUGGCCAAGUUCCUGUACAGUUGCUGACCAGCAAGACAGACUUUCUGCUCAGCUAUAAGAGUGUCCAAGUGUGUGUGUUCUCUGGUGCACUGUGAUGGCUAUUCUUGAUUGUCAACUCGACUACAUUAACUGGACCCCAAACGGCUGGGCACACCUGAGAAGAAUUAUUUUCUUAAUUAGAUCAUUUGAAGUGGGAAGACCUGCUUCUAACCUGGAACUUUGUGGCGGGUAAGGUACACCUUUAAUCUGGAUCUUCUGAGAUGGGAAGGUCCACCUUUAAUUUGGACCACACCACCUGCUGGCAAUUUAUGUAAAGGACAUGGAAGAAGGAAACAUGCCCUCUUUGUUUGCUUGCUCUUACUCUCACUGGUGAGUCCAUUCCUUCACUGACAUUAGAACCUACUUGUCUGGGAUUCCAGCAUCUUCUGAAGACCUGCUGAGACAUCCAGCCUCAUGGAUUGAACAGUUACUGGAUUCUUGGCCCUCUUUUUGGUAGUCCUAUAUUGUUGAACGAGCUGGACCACAGCCUAUAAGCUAUUCUAACAAAUCUUUU